rnacentral:lncRNA from 1 species
UGGGGUUGGGCCCUGGGAGUGGCAUGGGGGAAGCUGGUCUGGGGUGGAGGCCACAGCAGGCCCACCUUCCUGGUGCUUGUGGGAUGCAAAUAACAGGAACAAUAGGGUCCCUGUCCCCAGGCCAUUUGUAGCAGUGGCUGGGCUCCCUGGAGGCACAACUCCUUCACCUUGGCCAUGGUGAGACUUGGUUCUGGGACAGCCCCAGGUGCACAGACCUGCCGGACAAGCUCAGGAGGAGCAAGCCCCGGUUGGGACCACCCCUUCCACCCCCAAGAUGUGUAGGUAAGUGACACAGUGGGCAAGAGGGGCCCAGCUCUAAGGGGUCUCCUGCAAGUCAAGUCUCCCCUCAGUCACAGUCCAGCACUGCCAAGGGGUCUAGCUCUCCCACGUGUCUUGUACAGAAUUAGGGGUACAUGGGGUGGGGGAUGGCAUAGGUGCAACAGGCAGCUAGCUGGGAGGUGUCCUUGUUUCCAAAAUGCCUGUCAUUGGCCCUGCUGCAGUGUUGGAAAGGCCCAUCAUGAAUGGUUCCUUGGAGCUGAAUGAAGCUUUGAGGCUCACUGUAGAGGUGCAGAUGGUUUAUUAUAUUGGGGAGAGAGAGUAACUCAUUGUGCUAGAGAGGGGCUGGGCUGGCAGGAGAUGAGGCCAGUCUUAUCAGUCUCCUGUCAAGACUCCCCAGUUUGGAGAACAGAUGCCCCCUGCGCGUCUCCUCUGCCUGCCGCAGGGACCUGGAGACACAGGCACCCCAUCCCGAAGGCCCAGGAGGAGGAGGAAGAAGAGGAGGAUCAAUAUGAGCUGCCCCCCUGUGAGGCUCUGCCCGUCAGUCUAGCUCCUGCCCACCUUCCUGGCACUGAGGAGAACUCUUUGUACCUGGGUGAGGCUGGGAAGUGGAGGCAGAAAGGUUGGGUGGUUUGGGCAGGGCAGGAAGGUCCCCACAAGAGAGCUGGGUGCAGGCCUGGCUUUUUUCCA